rnacentral:misc_RNA from 1 species
ACGAACGAUCAUCCUUGAUCUUCCUACCCUCAAACCACUGUGGACAUGAGAUGUGCUUCGGCGUCGUGAGGCGCCGCCUUUAUGCUCAAAGCCCUUCAAUGUCUGUCAUGAAAAAUGUCA